GGAGCAGCUUCUGGAGAGACCGUGGGGAUUCCCCGGCGCCGAAGGGUUCAUAAUCUCAGGCAAAAGGACAGAAGAGUACUG
rfam:Paenibacillus riograndensis SBR5 isolate SBR5(T) genome assembly, chromosome: I